CNUUAUACAUGCAAGUCGAGGGGCAGCAUAGAUUGCUUGCAAUCUGAUGGCGACCGGCGAACGGGUGCGUAACGCGUAUGCAACUUACCUUUUACUAGGAGAUAGCCAAGAGAAAUUUUGAUUAAUAUCCUAUACAAUUAUUUUUUCGCAUGAAUUAAUAAUAAAAGCUCAGGCGGUAAAAGAUGGGCAUGCGUCCUAUUAGCUAGUAGGUGAGGUAAAAGCUCACCUAAGCAACGAUAGGUAGGGGUCCUGAGAGGGAGAUCCCCCACACUGGUACUGAGACACGGACCAGACUUCUACGGAAGGCAGCAGUAAGGAAUAUUGGACAAUGGAGGCAACUCUGAUCCAGCCAUGCCGCGUGCAGGAAGACGGCCUUAUGGGUUGUAAACUGCUUUUAUACAGGAAGAAACCUGCUCACGUGUGAGCAGCUGACGGUACUGUAAGAAUAAGGAUCGGCUAACUCCGUGCCAGCAGCCGCGGUAAUACGGAGGAUCCAAGCGUUAUCCGGAAUUAUUGGGUUUAAAGGGUCCGCAGGCUGUUUGUUAAGUCAGAGGUGAAAUCCUACCGCUCAACGGUAGAACUGCCUUUGAUACUGACAAACUUGAGUUAUUGUGAAGUAAUUAGAAUGUGUAGUGUAGCGGUGAAAUGCAUAGAUAUUACACAGAAUACCGAUUGCGAAAGCAGAUUACUAACAAUAUACUGACGCUGAGGGACGAAAGCGUAGGUAGCGAACAGGAUUAGAUACCCUGGUAGUCUACGCCGUAAACGAUGGUCACUAGCUGUUCGAUAUACAUUGGUAUAUUGAGUGGCUAANCGAAAGUGAUAAGUGACCCACCUGGGGAGUAC
rnacentral:rRNA from 1 species